AAUGAUAUGCCUGACAAAAAGGAUUAUCUUGAUAGGAUAAAUUAUACAUACAUAUUUCUAUGUUUUCAUUA
rnacentral:tRNA from 1 species